rnacentral:rRNA from 1 species
GACGAAGGACCCGAGCGUUAUCCGGAUUCAUUGGGUUUAAAGGGUGCGUAGGUGGAUUGAUAAGUCAGUGGUGAAAUCUCCAGGCUUAACCUGGAAACUGCCAUUGAUACUGUCGAUCUUGAAUAUGUUUGAUGUGGGCGGAAUAUGACAUGUAGCGGUGAAAUGCUUAGAUAUGUCAUAGAACACCAAUUGCGAAGGCAGCUUGCUAAACAAAUAUUGACGCUGAGGCACGAAAGCGUGGGGAUCAAACAGG